AUAAUAAUUCAUAAGAGACUCAAAUAAUAUUCAUGGAUAAUCUGAACAUAAACUCACAAUUCAUCGGAUCUCGACAAAUACACCGCAAGAGAGUAUUACAUCGCAUAGAUCUCCAUGAAGAUCAUGAAGAACAUGGUAUUGAAGAUCAAAAAGAGAGAAGAAGCCAUCUAGAUACUAGCUAUGGACCCGUAGGUCUAUGGUGAACUACUCACACAUCAUCGGAGGGGUAAUGGAGUUGAUGUAGAUGCCCUCCAUGAUCAAUUCCCUCUCGAGCAGAUUACCGGAAGAGGCUCCCAGAUUGGAUCUCUCGGGAACAGAGGCUCCCCGCGGCGUAAAAGUAUUUCUGUUGCUCGUUUUGGCGAUAUGAGAAUAUUUAGGAAUUUAUAGCCCAAGAAUCAGGGUUAGGAGACCUGCAGGGGUCCCACAAGCCAGGGGGCGCGGCCACCCCCCUAGGGCGCGCCCUACAGGUUUGUGGCCUCCCGACAACUUCCUUGCCCCUACUCCAAGCCUAUUGCGUGUCUUCUGGUCCAAGAAAAAUAUUUCCGUAGAUUUUAUUCCAUUUGGACUCUGUUUAAUAUUCCUUAUCUGCAAUACUCAAAAAUGUGGAAAAACAGAAACUGGCACUAGGCUCUGCAUUAAUAGGUUAGUCCCAAAAAUAAUAUAAAACAACAUAUAAAUGCAUAUAAAACAUCCCAAACAGAUAAUAUAAUAGCAUGGAACAUUAAAAAAUUAUAAAUACAUUGGAGACGUAUCAAGCAUCCCUAAGCUUAAUUCGUGCUCGUCCUCGAGUAGGUAAAUGCUAAAAACAGAAUUUUGAUGUGGAAUGCUACCUAACAUAUUUAUCCAUGUAAUAUUCUCUAUUGUGGCAUCAAUAUUCAGAUCCAUAAAACUUAAAGAAAAAGUCUAUAUUGACAUAAAAACAAUAAUACUUUAAGCAUACUAAUAAGGUAAUUGCUUCCUUUCAAAAUAGCAUGGUCUUAGAAAGUUAUCCCUACAAAAUCAUAUGGUCUGGCUAUGCUCCAUCUUCACCACACAAAGUAUCUAAAUCAUG
rnacentral:lncRNA from 1 species